UGAUCCUGUUUAGCCUUUUUGAGAUCUCCCAAAGUUGGUUUAGUGCUCUUGCCUGCUUAUUCUCAUAGGGUCCAAUAUUAAGUAGAUUGUGGAAAUGUGAUUGAGAAGCAGAAGUUGCCUUCUCAACCACUUGUGUUAUUGUGGCAUUAGAGUAACUCUGUAGUAAUCAGUGCUCAGUCAUUGCAGGGUGCAAAUAUGGCUGAGCGCCUUCGCAGCAUUUAUUCUUUUAUACAGUUUUCCAAGCAGCAAAAGUUUAACAUGGCAAUAGCAUAGCAAUAGCAUUUCAUUGGUUAAACUCCUUACCAAUCCUUAAGAAGAUAUCAGCCAGGAGGCCCAGCCAGGGAGCAGUUUCUACCACAUCCUGUUGAUGUAACCUGGCUGAUAUCAUGUGCCAGCUGGGGGUAGUUUCCCACAUUGCCAUGGUGAUGUGAAUGGAUGAGAUCAUGUAGAGAGAAGAGGCACGCAGGCUUUGGAGGGGCAGUUUGCUGUUCACGACCUCUACCUGGCCCCCAUCUACACAACUCCAGGCUUGUAUCAAUGCCAUUAUAAUAGAUGACAGUCAUUUAGAAAUAGCAUUUGUCAAUCAUUUGACUCCCAGUUUGACAUCUUGUGUUAUGUGCACUUGAGACUAUGCAGACCUCCAUGAAGACAUUCUGGAUGCACAUGUCAUAGGAUAUUGAUCAUCAUUUUAUAAUUGAUGUUAUAACUGGGCCAUAUUUCUAGAAUUUGGAAGGGCUUUCAACAUUUGAUGACCUCAACGGCACCAACGUGUUAUCACAUGGAAUUGUAGCAGAAUCACUUGGAUCACAGUGUAACCCAGUGUGGAACUAUCGUGGGACUCAAGAAGGACAAAAAACCAAGAAAGUCCAGUUGCUUUUCGGAAGAAGCAGCUUUGGGAUAAUUGCUGCAAGUGUUUUGCAAGUCGCAACUGGCAGCUAGAUUGACAGCAUCAGUAUCCUUUUUUCAAUAAAUUCAAUUUUUGUUUCAAUUGUUAUUCUUUUUAUAGGAUAAAUUUAUGCCUCCAUGAAAAAUAAAUAUAAGCUCAGAAAUAAAGAACCAUAAUUUAUUAAUAUAAAAUUGUCAACCUAAAUCCAACUUGGUUUUUAAUGAUUUGUUGCUAAGAAAAAAAAGUAAUGUUAAAUGCUCUAUUCUCCAGAAUAUUUUCUAUAAGUACCGGGAGUAGAAAGGUAACCAGAUAGA